AUAUCAGUCAUGCAUAGCAUAUCAAUAAGCGGAGGAAAAGAAACUAACAAGGAUUCCCUUAGUAACGGCGAGUGAAGCGGGAAGAGCUCAAAUUUGAAAUCUUCAAGGUUUUACCUUGACGAAUUGUAGUUUAAAGAAGUGUUUUCUGUUGGAGUUUUGGUAAAAGUUCUUUGGAAUAGGACAUCAUAGAGGGUGAGAAUCCCGUAUUUGACCAUUAUUUCCAGCUGUGUGAUACACUUUCAAAGAGUCGGAUUGUUUGGAGAAUGCAGUCCAAAAUGGGUGGUAAAUUUCAUCUAAAGCUAAAUAUUGGCGAGAGACCGAUAGCGAACAAGUACCGUGAGGGAAAGAUGAAAAGAACUUUGAAAAGAGAGUUAAACAGUACGUGAAAUUGUCAAAAGGGAAGCGUUUGACACCAGUGUUGUUUUUCCGAAAAUCAAUUACGAAUGUUUUAUUUUUGAGAAGUUAUGACUUCAUCGGCUUGCUUCUCUCUUUAUGAAACUUUCUUAAUGCACUUUUCGGUUAACAAGUCAACAUCAAUUUCUUUGUUGUAAAAGGGUAUGAGGAAGGUGGCUUUCUUUUCGGAGAAAGUGUUUAUAGCCUUGUACCUCUGCAAUCGGAGAGAUUGAGGUCUGCAGCGUAGAUCCUUCGGGGUUAGAUACAUUUGUGCUAAGUUAUAGCUUUUCAUAGACAACUUGUUGACUAUGUUUAGUCUUGUAGCUUACUCGCUGACGCUAUUUUACCUACGCUUAGGAUGUUGAUGUGAUACUGCGAGC
rnacentral:rRNA from 1 species